GACGAACGCUGGCGGCGUGCCUAAUACAUGCAAGUCGAACGCACUCUCGUUUAGAUUGAAGGAGUUUGCUCCUGAUUGAUAAACAUUUGAGUGAGUGGCGGACGGGUGAGUAACACGUGGGUAACCUGCCCUAAAGUGGGGGAUAACAUUUGGAAACAGAUGCUAAUACCGCAUAAAACCUAACACCGCAUGGUGUAGGGUUGAAAGAUGGUUUCGGCUAUCACUUUAGGAUGGACCCGCAGUGCAUUAGUUAGUUGGUGAGGUAAAGGCUCACCAAGACCGUGAUGCAUAGCCGACCUGAGAGGGUAAUCGGCCACACUGGGACUGAGACACGGCCCAGACUCCUACGGGAGGCAGCAGUAGGGAAUCUUCCACAAUGGACGAAAGUCUGAUGGAGCAACGCCGCGUGAGUGAAGAAGGUUUUCGGAUCGUAAAACUCUGUUGUUGGAGAAGAAUGUAUCUGAUAGUAACUGAUCAGGUAGUGACGGUAUCCAACCAGAAAGCCACGGCUAACUACGUG
rnacentral:rRNA from 1 species